AUACGAACCGCACGAACGUUAUUCGGAAUCACUGGGCUUAAAGGGUGCGUAGGCGGUCCGGUAAGUUGGGUGUGAAAGCCCUCGGCUCAACCGAGGAAUUGCGCCCAAAACUACCGGACUUGAGGAAGCCAGAGGUGAGCGGAACUUGCGGUGGAGCGGUGAAAUGCGUUGAUAUCGCAAGGAACACCAGUGGCGAAAGCGGCUCACUGGGUCUUUUCUGACGCUGAGGCACGAAAGCUAGGGGAGCGAACGGUAUUAGAUACCCCAGUAGUCC
rnacentral:rRNA from 1 species